AGGGGGAGUGCGCUUCGCUUUCCCGGGGUCUGGGGCUCAUUUCUCCUCUCUUCCCCAUAAACUCAGCUCCUCCGAGCUCAAAACACAAAAGGAAGCGAGAGGUUCGAACCUUUGGGAAAAGUCUGUUAUAUAUAGUAGGUUUCGGGGCGAGUAAGAGCAAAAAAACAAUAAACACCACAGCUCUUUCCAGCUAGAAUAUUAGGCACCACGAGAAAAAUAUUUGCCAAGCAGUUUUCGCCUCCACCCGCAGAACCCUUUGAGCUGCCUGAAAUCCGAGUCAUUAAACUGUUCCCUGAGGUCAGACCACAGAUGCCCCCGUGCAUGUUUCGUCCAUGUCAACGUCUAUGUAACACAUGUACAUACAGAGACACACGCAGAAAACUGUGUAACUCUGCGGGGGCACAGUGUGAGGUGGAUUCUUCACCAGCUGAGCCACCAGGGAAGCCAAAGAAUACUGGAAUGCAUAGCCUAUCCCUUCGCCAGCAGAUCUUCCCGACCCAGGAAUUGAACUGGGAUCUCCUGCAUUGCAGGUAGCUUCUUUACCAGCUGAGCUACCAGGGAAGCCCUCUGUCCUCAGCAAUUGUUGAAUCCCACACAACUGAUUUUGUGUCAUUGGAAACUGAGACCCACACAGAAUGUAUUUUCCACACACACACUGGAUCAGGCUGAGUCAGAUCCAGAACUCUGAUGUCCUGGUUCUAAAUCUACUGUGUUUUUCCAUAGCUUAUCAUGAGAAGAGGCUGUGGGGUGGGCAGACCUGCCAAAGAGCCAUUUUCUGUGGUCUUACAUUUUCUGUGACCUUCAGAGAAGUCCCCACUUUUGGACUCCUGAGAUGAUCUCCACUGAGGUUCUACAUCAGUCUUAACAGGACCAUGACAGUCUGCAUGUGGGUCCCAGUGUAAGACGCCCUAUAGGAGUCCCCACAGUUUCCUAUGGUACUGUGACUUAUCACUGUUAAUAAACCUAUAAUUAUCUUAUGAGUA